CCGGAGAUUUGGGAGUGAAGGAGCAGCACUACUCCUUUUUCCGUUUGCAGCUUUUCUUCGCACAUCUAAAGGACGCACGCUUCAUUCGCCUCAUCGCGCAGAGUCUGACGCUCAGGAUUGAAGCAUGGAUGAUGAUUUCGAGCGGCGCAGGGAGCUCAGGAGACAGAAGCGGGAGGAGAUGCGUCUGGAAGCUGAGAGGAUGGCAUAUCGGCGCAGUGAGGAGGAUGAGGAGGAGGCUGCUCGAGAGCGCAGAAGAAGAGCGAGACAGGAGAGAAUGCGCAGUAAAGAGAGUGAAGACGUGGCCUUCCAACCCGAGACCCCAGAACUCAACAACAGCCACAGUGUGACGGUGUCCGAGAGCAUCUCCACCUCAGUGCUGAGCUCCAGCGGGACGGGCGAGGGGGACGAGGAGGAGCAGGCCCUGCUGGAGCGGCUGGCCAAGAGAGAGGAGCGCAGGAUGAGGAGGAUGAAGGAGGCGCUGGAGAGACAGAAGGAGGAUGAAGAGGAAAGCAGCAGCAGCCUGAGACGAGGCAGGAGCUACGAGCCUGAAGAACAACACAACAACAACAACCAAGAGGAGAAAGAGGAGGAGAAACGAGAGGAGGAAGAGGAGGUCUACAGGCCUAGAGAAGAUGAAAAGGAGGAGGAGGAGGAGGAGGAGGUGGUGGUGGAGAAGCCACGGAGGUCUUAUUUGAGAGAUCAGGAUUCGGUUGAGGAAAUAUCUAAAAUACCUGACGAGGAGAAUAAUGAGAGAGAUGCUGUGGCUUCAUCUGAAGUCCGCGAGGUGAUUUUAAAUCAAGAUGUAAAUGAAGUUGUUUUGGAGCCGGAUGUGGAAAAUGGCGCCGCAAGAUUACAGGAGGAAAGCAGUGAGAUAGAGCGAUUGACAGAAAAUGGAAUGGAUGAAAUGAGAGAGGCAGAAAACUUUGAGAAAGAUGAGGCAGAGGUUUCAGGAAAUGAGGCGGCGUUGAUGGAAGAUGAAGAUGUGAUGAGGAAGAAUAAACAGCCCAACGGAGGAGUGUGCGAGGACAGUCCUCCCAAACACAAGAAAGCCGAGAGGACUUUCAGCCGAGGAAGUUUGCGUUCUCCCGAGGCGCCGGAUGCAGACGAUGAAGAUGCACGUCUGGAGGCGGAGAGGAAGCUGGAGGAGCUGAAGAGGAGGAGAGACGAGAUGGAGAGCGAGGAGUUCGAGAAGAUGCGGCAGAAGCAGCAGGAGGCCGAGGUGGAGCUGGAAGAGCUGAAGAGGAAGAGGGAGGAGAGGAGGAAGGUGCUGGAGGAGGAGGAGCGACAGAGGAAGCAGGACGAGGCAGACAGGAAGACCAGAGAGGAGGAGGAAAAGAGGAGGAUGAAGGAGGAGAUAGAGAAGAGAAGAGCAGAGGCGGCUGAAAAGCGUCAGAAAGUGGAGGAUUCAGUGGACGGAGAGGCCAGAAAGCCUUUUAAGUGUGUCAGUCCCAGAGGAUCCUCACUGAAGAUCGGUGAGAGGGCAGAAUUUCUCAACAGAUCAGCACAGAAGAGUUCUGUGAAGGCGUCUCACGCUCCUGUGGUGUCUAAGAUUGAUAACCGAUUAGAGCAGUACACCACCGCAGUGCAGGGCAACAAGGAGGUCAGAUCUCCCAGAUCAGGCGCCAUAGAUCUUCCAAUGGUGACGGACGGCAUUCGCAACAUCAAGAGCAUGUGGGAGAAGGGAAACAUCUUCGGUUCUGGCGGGAGCCCGGCCUCCACCAAUAAGGAUGCAGCUGGGAUAAAGGUGGGCGUGGCCGGUCGCAUCAAUGAUUGGUUGAAUAAAACUCCAGAGACGGGCAAAAUGUCAGGAGGAAGACCUGCUGACCUGAAACCGGGUGACGUGACCAGCAAACGCAGUCUAUGGGAAAACAAAGGCUCCUCUGCUACCAAGCUGUCCCCUAGCUAAUUGUCUACAGAUCUGACCACCUUGAGGAGGUCACAAGCAGGGGAGAGACCAAAUCUGUCACCAAUGGAACGAGCCAUUAACCCUUCAGAGAAGCCAGAGAGGCAGGGACCAAGAGAAUGCACAACAUUCCUUUUUUAUUAUUAUUUGUACUUUUAUUAAAGCCAAAAAGAAAAAAAAUACAAGCAUUUUAUACUGCCAGGAAGAUCUACGUGAGAAGACGCAGUAUAAAAGAGAGUAAAAUAAAAACUAUAUAAAUAUAUAUUUUAUCACUGUAUUCACCAUCUUGCACCGUCAAAACAUGAAUGCGUUAUGUAAUGUGAAAAACGAGCGAUCCUAUGUUUAAUUCGGUUUGAUUAUAUAGCAAAUAUAUAACGGCAGCCAACUCAAAACAUGACAAGAUUGUUUAUAAAGGAGGAUGAGGAGCAUCAAUCUGAAUCUAGUCCAUUUAAACACGUUAGUUACCCUUCUCAGCUGUUAAUUUAUAACAUACACAAAGCUUCACCUUGCCUUUCAUACAUGCCAGUUCAGUCCGAAUAUGAGCACCGUAGAGUAGCUGUAUUUUGUACUUCUUUUUUUUUUUUGUCGCAAUGACAUUUUUUUUUCUAAAUUGUCUUAAUAAUAUAUGUUAGCACAUAGUGUAAGUUUUUGUAAUUAACUAUAUAUUUUACUGCUUGAUACAAAAUGGUCUUUGCUUUUGCUCUCAAUAUUAUUUUAUAUCAAACCAUUAUAGUUGUACUGUUAUCAUUAUUACGUUAUCGUUGGCUUUUUUUACUCUUGGAAACACAUCUGUUUGUAAGUGUUAAUCACUAUGUGUCAUGUGAAAUUAUCGGUAUUGGUGAAAGAGUGAAAAGUAAGGGAACAUGCACUUUUUGGCUUUUACUGUGCGUUCAGACCGAAGGUGGCGAGAGCAUCAAAUUUCACUCUGACCACCCUGAGGACGCUGUGCGCCUUCACAGCUCCAAGCCGCGAGCAACUACAUUGAUCUUGUAUUUAAAGGAAACAUUGCAGCAGAUCAGGUACAUUCCUGCACAAAACAUGCUUUCUAGCAUAAAAAUGUUGCACGUUUUUUAGCAAACUCAUUUAACAAUGAAAGAUCGAGUUGUUGCGUGUGCCGUGGCUUUGCUCCACUUAUCCAUUAUGUCCGUAUGUCUGAAAUAUUCUGAAGCAGCAGUACUAUUUUGUGUUGUCAUUAUGGUUAGCAUGAGAUUCACGCUUUUGUAAAGAAAAAAUACAUACACAUCAGUAACUGGCCAGUAACUUUUUUUUAUGUAUGUCCCUGUAAAAAAACACCGUAAAUAAUUGGAAAUCCGGCGACAUCCAGCAAUAAUCAAACCUUUGGGAACAACUGUGGUCAGAACCAAAGUUUACAGUGUUCUCUGGAGUAAACAUUCCGAUUGCUUGUCACUGAGCCAAGUAUUUUAAGUGUUUAGGUAAGUAUUUUACGUUUUGUCAGUUUAGUGGGUAAUUCGUACAAAUUUGUACGAGUGCAGUUGUAUGAAAAUGUACGAUUUUAAAAAGGAGGUGUGGCACCCAACCCCGCCCCUAAACUCAACCAUCAUUGGGUGAUGAGCAAAUCAUACUAAAUUGUACAAUUUAGAUUGUACGAAUUCAUACGAAUUAACCACUAAAUUAAAAAGUUACGAAUUGCCGUGAGAUUGCGUUGGCCAAACCGCAUCAUAACUCAUUACCAUAAAGUUGAUUUGAUUUCAACUCUCCUCAACGCCAACACUGGCAAAGAUGCACUGCGCUGCUUAUCACCACGAGCUCCCAUUGAAAAUAAAUGAUUUCCGGCUACUUUGACGCUCUCGCUGCUUUUGGUGUGAAUGCACAGUUAGGGACAGAUCGCCUAAAAAUCAGCAAUUUUUUUUUUGUUGGUUUACUCCGCCUCAGAUCUUCCAAGAUUACUUUUUAGUUGAUGUUUACUUAAUUUAACACUUAAAAAGACUUUUGCUGCUUGUUCAAACUGCUUAUUAAAAAUACAUUGAAACAACACAAUUUUUAAGUUUUUGUUUGGGGGGGGGCAACUUAAUUGUUUUAUGUCCACCUAAGUUUGUAAAAACAGUUCAGUACACUUGAUUUGCAUUUUUUACAGUGAGUACGUUUACAUGGACACCAAUAAUCCAAUUUUAAUACGAUUAAGACAAUACUCUGAUUAAGAGUCUACCAUGUAAACGGGGGUUUUUGUUCAUGUUAAUCCGACUAAAGACACAAUCCAAUUAAACAGAAAUCGAAUUAAGACAUGUGGAGUAUACCUAUUUUAGUUGCAUUAUUGAAGUGACGUACAGACAUGUAAACACCACAAUCAAUCUAUUACCAUCAUGUAGGAUUUUCACCUCAUUUUGUAUUGGCAUUUCAUACACACAUGGCUGUUUGACACUAUUCUCUGCACCUACCUAAUCAGUACAGAAUGCCGAGGGGGUUUUUUUCCAUUCGGUAUGCGGUAUCGAAUUCCAUUAAAACAACACUCUCCACCAGUCCUUACUUCAUACGCACAUCCUAUACCUCAGUUUGUAAUGGGGGCAUGCAUGAAAUGUUCCUGGAUGAAAGUAAAAGUGCCAAACUGCAAUUAAACUCUAAAAAAGAAACGCAUGAAAUUACAUGAAACUCCGGAGGAAACGUGGAUGGCACGGUGAUGCAGCGACGUUAAUCGAUCUGUGUGCUUUAACAUGUAAAAGGGGAUCAUGAAGGGAACAUUCAAAAAGCAACUCAUGUAAACACUUCAACCAUAUUAUUCUCUUAUUCAGAUCAAGGCAAAUAAUUUGAUUACUGAUGUCCAUGUAAACGUAGUCAAAUGAUUUUAGCUGAAACUGUGAUAUUGAAUAUUUAAUCGCUUCAGCUCUACACUGUAAAAAAAAAAUGCCGGGUUUCACACAGUUGAUGUAUGUUGGGACAACAUGAUGGAAUUAAGUAGAUUUUUUACUAAUUUAAGUGGAUUAAACAUAAAACAAUUACGUCGUUCCAACAAAAAGCUCCAGAAUUGUGUUGUUUCAGCACAAUUUAAAAAAUUCACGUUGGCAAAUAUAAAUUCUGAAGUGAAUAAUUUAGUUUUGCAAGUAUUUGUUUAUUGUUUUUUCGACUCUCAAAGUCUCAGUCUACAUCUUGGAUGGCCUGAGGGUGAGUAUAACUGAAAUCUUUCAUUUUUGGGUGAUUAAUCCAUUUGAAUGGCAUGAUUGAUCAAAAAUGUUUGCAUAUAAUGCAAGACCUUGUUUCCAAAAACACAUCCUGACUUCAGCGAUACGGAAAAAAAAGAUGUUUGCAAAAUUGUUACAAACAAUUCAUACGUGUUGAAUUUAAGGGAAGUUUCAUAAACUAGUUUCGAGAGGAACACGUGAUAUGAUCAACUUCAGCUGAUCCCCAUCACUAAUCAUUAGCUAGCCUAUCGGAGCACUCCAAAACUACUAUAUAUAUUCUAGCUAAACUUCAUUCCCUAUCUCUGUUUUCAGAACCCCCCCCCCCCCCCCCCUCCCAACUCCCCCUAUCCUUACAUUAUCCCUCCUCCUCUUUGAUCGGGCAACACGGUGGCUCAGUGAUUAGCACUGUUGCCUCGCAGCAAGAGGGCCACAAGUUCAAGGCCCAUUUGAAUCAGUUGGCACUCCCUGCGCGGAGUUCGCAUGUUCGCAUGUGUUUGCGUGGGUUUUCUCCGGGUCCUCCGGUUUCCUCCCACAGUUCAAAAACAUGUAUAUAAGUGAAUCAGAAUACAGUCACAAGCACCCAGCGUAUACAUGCCUAACCAACCAGCCAGAAGUGGGGGGGGACAUUUGAGAAACACCUGAUCUCGUGUCCCUCCUAAUGCUCAUUAACCAGGCGGGAACCUUGGGCUCAUCUAUCUCCGAGCUCAGGAUUCUCUCCCGGGACAGCAUGCCAAACCUGCUAUUAUAGUUGAGCAUUAUCUAAGUGCGAACUCUUGAAACAAAUUAAAUAAUAAAAAAAAAAAAAGAAGUAAAUCAAAGAAAUCAUCUUUGAAUCGUUUUUUUCAGUGAAAGUGAAAGUCUAUGUCAGUUUGUGUUUAUCGUUUAAGUGUUUCAUUUCGUUUCUGUGUUGCAAUCAGUUCAUACAUGGCAGCAUGGAUGUUGCCUGCUUUCAAUAGCUAGCUGGCAGAACAUCAGUAAUGUUGUCAUGUUAUAUAUUAAAAAAAAUGUGUACCACUUCUGACUUCUUUUGUCAGACAAAGAAUAUCCAGUUCUGCCACCGUAGCUUAACGCAAAUGUCUCUAAUUGUUCCUGUAUUCUGCUUGUAUUUCUUUGACAAUCAAGUUUUUCUUUGUUUUUACUAUUUGUAAACACUUAUGUAUUGUUGCAGAGUAACACUAUGCAAGUCGCACCACCUUUAAUUGCAAUUACCUGAACUUUUGUAGCCACUAGUUCCAUACAGAGCAAAUGUUUCAACAUUGUAUCAUUGUCUCAGUGACCACAAUAAAGAGACCAAUGGAAAAAUCCCA